rnacentral:rRNA from 1 species
GACUCCGCAGGAAGGGCGCACGGGGGAUGCCUAGGCGCUGGCGGCCGAGGAAGGACGCGGCCACGCGGCGAAACGCUCCGGGGAGGCGCUGGCGGCCUGGGAUCCGGAGGUGUCCGAAUGGGGCAACCCGCGCGGGGCACGCCCGCGCAUCCGGCGCGAGCCGGAAGGGAACCGCGGGACCUGAAACAUCUUGGUACCGCGAGGAGCAGAGAGGAUUCCCCCAGUAGCGGCGAGCGAACGGGGAGGAGCCCAAACCGGGGCGGCGGCACAGCCUGCCGGCGAUGCCGCCCCGGGGUUGGACGAGUCUGGUGGAGGGCGCGGCAGCGGCCUCGCCGGGGACGCGGCGGUCAGCCGAAGCCCGCUGGAACGGGGCGUCGCAGAGGGUGAGAGCCCCGUAGGCGACGACGGCCGCGUCCUGGUGACCAGGGAUCGUGAGUAGGCCCCGACACGCGGAAUCGGGGUUGAAGCGGGGGCGACCACGCCCCAAGGCUGAAUACCGCCGGCGACCGAUAGGGAACCAGUACCGUGAGGGAACGGUGAAAAGCACCCCGGCGAGGGGAGUGAAAGAGAGCCUGAAACCGUGCGCUCCCGGCCGGUCGGAGCCGACCAGCGCGAGCUGGCUCGGUGACGGCGUGCCUUUUGUAGAAUGAGCCGACGAGUGGUCCAGCGCGGCGGGGUUAAGCCAGGGACAGGCGGAGCCGCAGCGAAGGCGAGUCCGAAAGGGCGCCGGAGUCGUGCUGGGUCGACCCGAAACCGGGUGAUCUCACCGUGGCCAGGCCGAAGCGGGCGGAACACGCUCGUGGAGGGCCGCACCGACGUCUGUUGCAAAAGGCGCGGAUGAGCUGCGGUGAGCGGUGAAAUGCCAAGCGAACCCGGAGAUAGCUGGUUCUCCCCGAAAUGCAUUUGGGUGCAGCCCCGGGCUGGGGCUGCGCGGAGGUAGCGCGCUGGAUCGGCGAGGGGGCUUGCCGCUUACCGACCCGAACCAAACGCCGAAUGCCGCGCAGCGGGGCCCGGGCGUGAGACGGCGGGCGCCAAGGUUCGUCGUCGAGAGGGGAACAGCCCAGACCGCCGGCUAAGGUCCCCAACUGCGGGCUAAGUGGGCAAGGUGGUCGCGGCGCGCAGACAACCAGGAGGUUGGCUUAGAAGCAGCCAUCCUUGAAAGAGUGCGUAAUAGCUCACUGGUCGAACGAUCCCGGCGACGGGGUCGAUGUGCCGCGGCGCCGACGAUCCACCGGGGCUCAAGCCCGCGACCGAAGCCGCGGAUGUGAGACGGGAACGUCUUGCAUGGUAGGGGAGCGUCCCCGUCUGCGGCGAAGCCGGCCCGGGAGGGCUGGUGGAGCGGCGGGGAGUGCGAAUGUCGGCAUGAGUAGCGCGAGGGGGGCGCGAAUCCCCCCCACCGCAUGCCCGAGGGUUCCGCCGCCAUGCUGAUCAGCGGCGGGUGAGGCGGGCCUAAGCCGAAGGCGCGAGCCGUAGGCGAUGGACAACGGGUCAAGAUUCCCGUCCCGCGCUGCGCCGCUUCGCCUGUGGGCGAUGAAGCGACGGGGGGACGCGGGGGGCUAGGUCCGGGGGAGAAGUCCCUCCAACCCGGUAGGCAGUCGGGGCAGGCAAAUCCGCCCCGGCGCCACGCCGAGAGGGGAGUGUAAGGCGCGGGGGCGACCCCAAGCCGUACGGAUCGAGGCCGCACCGCCGAGAAAAGCCUCUAGCGAGGCGCAGCGCGCCCGUACCGCAAACCGACACAGGUGGGCUGGUCGAGCAGACCGAGGUGGACGAGAGAACCCCCGUCAAGGAACUCGGCAAAUUGGCCCCGUAACUUCGGGAGAAGGGGCGCCCCGGCAGCGUGACUCCCCCCUGCGGGGACGAGCGCGAGGGGGCCGCAGAGACCAGGCCCAGGCGUCUGUUUACCAAAAACACCGGUCCCUGCCAACGCGCAGCGUGUGGACGUAUAGGGGCUGAGACCUGCCCAGUGCCGGAAGGUUAAGGGGACCGCUGCGAGGCGGGAACCGAAGCCCCGGUAAACGGCGGCCGUAACUAUAACGGUCCUAAGGUAGCGAAAUUCCUUGUCGGGUAAGUUCCGACCCGCACGAAAGGUAGAACGAUCUGGGCGCUGUCUCGACGGGGGACUCGGCGAAAUUGCAGGGCCGGUGAAGAUACCGGCGACCCGCGGCAGGACAAAAAGACCCCGUGGAGCUUUACUCCAGCUUGUCGUUGGGCGAGGGCGCGGCCUGUGCAGGAUAGGCGGGAGCCUGGGAAGCCCGGUCGUCAGACCGGGUGGAGGCGGCCUUGAGAUACCGCCCUGGCGGCGCCGUCGUCCUCACGGUGGAGAGCACCGGACCGCGGCUGGCGGGGAGUUUGACUGGGGCGGUCGCCUCCCAAAGCGUAACGGAGGCGCCCAACGGUCCCCUCAGGCCGGAUGGCAACCGGCCGGAGCGCGCAAGGGCAGCAAGGGGGCUUGACUGCGAGGCCGACAAGCCGGGCAGGGGCGAAAGCCGGGCCUAGUGAUCCCACGGUGCCGGGUGGAAGGGCCGUGGCGUAACGGAUAAAAGCUACCCCGGGGAUAACAGGCUGAUCCUGCCCAAGAGUCCACAUCGACGGCAGGGUUUGGCACCUCGAUGUCGGCUCGUCGCAUCCUGGGGC